ensembl:lncRNA
GCAAAAGCUAAGAAACAGCAAUGAGUUAAUCAGAGUUCUUGUGGAAGACCAGAGAAGAAUCUCUUCUGGGUAUAAUUUAGACAGAGCUUAGAGGGAAGAAAGAGGGUUUCUCCAUGUAUCCCUGACUGACCUGGAACUCAACUCUGUAGACCAAUGUGGCCUUGAGCUCAGACAUCCACCUGCCUCUGGAGUACUGGAUUAAAGUGACCGAUCGCUGCUUGGAUUUUAAAGGUUGUCAUCAAUUCAGUCUCAUCUUGGCAUGUUCCUACAUUGACGUGGUUUUAUCAAAGAUCCUCUCAUUGCCGUGGGAAUCGAAGGAAUAUAUAAGCAAACUGCUGUAAAAACAGUAGCUCCUGCAGCUGGCACCAAGAGAAGUCCAAGGUAUUUGCCCUUCAUUUGUUGUCCACAUGUAGCAUCCUGUCAAGUCACAGUGGACCUUUAGGCUGACAUUGACCCUGUUAUCUACAGUGCUACUAAAGAGAAUGGACAUUGCUGAAUCAUGCCAUGGGUGGAAUCAUUCCAUCAAUUCCUGAUUUUUCUCCAAAUGCAGCUGCGUUUCUGUAGAGUUCGUUUCCUGAGAAAGCUGAAGAGAAAACGGACCUAGCUUGCUGGGUGUCAGAAGAUCUUGGACAUUCAAGGUUUGUUGGCUGUUGGAAGCUGUCACUAUGUUGAUACCGUGCAUCCCAGUUCCUCUGUUGGGGUUACGUCACAGCACAUGAGCUUUGCGGGUACUAAGACAUGGAGAACUGGUGACCUGAGAGAACGCUUUGGACAAUAUCUGAAUGGGAAAAGAUGGACGGCAAAUAAAUUGAUCAAUAAGAAGAUUAAUAAUAAAGUGCCUGCAGACAAUUGAUUUUGGGUGAUAUAAUGAGCGGUAUCCAGGAUUCUUUGUGUAGCUAAAAAAAAAAAAUGCCUGAAGUAGUUUGAUGAGAGCGUGAGGUGGUGCAGACAUGCGUGCUGGAGGUCGGUAGAGUUCCUGCCUGACAGAGUCAACCUGACCUAGAGGGACGAUUCCUGAAGGGCCAUGAGACGACCGGGGGACACUCUGGAACCAGGCACUUUGGAAACAGGAACAGCGUGCGUCAAGGAAGCUGCACUGGGAAGCUUCUCACCCAUCAGGCUAUUUGGUGAGAAGAUUUGGCAGGGACAGGGGAAAAAUACAGACUAAUUUUGUCACUUGCUGAGGUAGAAGGGAUAUUGGGCAGUAACGCCUCCUACUCUGUACAUGUGCAUAUGGAGUCAUAAUCUUUAUUAUUAUUAUUAUUAUUAUUAUUAUUAUUAUUAUCAUCAUUAUCAUCUGCAUGAGUCAGACUGGAGCUAGAUCUCAUUAAAGAGUCCCCAGGGAGUCUGAAGAGGAACUGAGGCAGACUCAUACCAACUCAAGCAUCCUCAUCAGUAGUUAAGGACUUACCCAGAGUCUGGUGCAUUGAACCUCCACUGAAAAGGCUCAGUCUCAAGGAUCAGCGUUGUAUCUGAGACCCUAGCAUCAGCCUAUGACCCCCGGUGUGCUGGUGCACACCUUUAACCCCAGCACUGCCAAGGCAGGUGGGUCUCUGUGAGUUCUAGGCCUAGUCUACAUAGUGAGCUCCAGGCCAGCUAGAACCACGUUGUGAGAUUCCGUCAGAACAAAAACCUCGGUGGUCAAGACUUCAGCCGAGAGGGCUCAAUGGACAUAAAAACAGAAAGAGUGGAUAGUGCUUGAUUAGAAGUUUCCCUGGUGUUAACAUGCAUAUGUAUGGUCCUAUCAUUACAAAGUCCCUGUUUCUUCAUCUUUAAAUGUUUCAGACAGUGAACAUUUAGAUUCAUUUUCUCUCUGUUACCAAUAAAACCAAACCUAUUUUCAAAGUU